GCAUUAAUGGGGUAGUGGUAACCCGGUCGUUGCCAUAAACUAUAAAAUCUGAAUUGAUGGUGCAGUUUCUCGACCCGCCGGGGGUUCGAUUCCUUCUUAAUGCA